UACGUAGGGGGCAAGCGUUGUCCGGAUUUAUUGGGCGUAAAGAGCGUGUAGGCGGUUUGGUAGGUCCGCUGUGAAAACUCGAGGCUCAACCUCGAGACGCCGGUGGAAACCAUCAGACUAGAGUCCGGAAGAGGAGAGUGGAAUUCCUGGUGUAGCGGUGAAAUGCGCAGAUAUCAGGAAGAACACCGGUGGCGAAGGCGGCGAGCUGGUCCAUUACUGACGCUGAGGCGCGACAGCGUGGGGAGCAAACAGG
rnacentral:rRNA from 1 species